CCCUUCAAAAGCAAGACAUGCGCCUGGGCUGUGCCCCCACCAUGCUUCUCCUGCACAGCCCCAGUGCCAGCCCUGCGCUGCACCGGCCCCAUGCUGCCGGUCAUGCCCGCCUUGGGCCAGGCUGGCUCAGCACGUUGCAGAGCAGUCUGACAGCCUGGUAAAAAUACCUGAGAGAUGACAUGCAGCUUGGAAGGGGGCUUUUUGUGACUUCGAUAAGGGAUUGACUGACGAAUGCAAAUAGAAGAACUCUUUCUGUUUUCCCCUCAGAGUAUGAGUUGAUUGCUCAGUCUGUUUUAUAACACUGAGUUUUUACUUGGAAAUACCCGCUUCAGCUUGAAACCAGAAGCUCUGACAAUGACAAAACUAUUCAGAUCAGAUACUAUCAUUACAGGGUGGGGUAGCAAGCUCCAUUCGCAUCUGCUGAUAGAAUUAUCUCCACUGUGUACCGUUCUCUUAUCUGUCGCUCACAGCAACAUUUCAAGUGGCUGUUUUCCCCCUCAGAAAGCCACAAUGGGGGAUUAUUUUAAGCUGCAAUUGCAGAAGCAAUGCUCUCUUCUUUUUCCCUACCCCCUCCUUCCCCCCUUCAAGAACAGAUCUUCCACUGUUAGAAUUCAGCAAUGAAGUUGAGGUGAAUCUGGUCACUGAUCCCUGCUGAAGAGCCCACUCGGUCUUUCUUCAUGUGGCCUCCCCAACACAGUUCGAUAUGGCCGAGAGUCCUUUUCAGGAUGACAGGUUCAUUUUUCUUUUACCCCUGUGUUCUCAUUAAUGUGCAGUGUUUAACUCUCUCUGAAAAGCUUUUCCAGGUAGAGAAAGCACAUCCCUGCUUUAUUAACAUCAGCAACAACUAUGCAAACCAGUCAGAACUUGUUAAAAAAAGCUUUUACUUUUCAUGGUACAGCAGAGCUCAAUCUGGAAGGAGAGUAAUUUGGCCAACCGCACUGACAGACUGACUUGAGACAAGGAUGUCUUUAUGGCUGGUCUGUUGCUAAACCCUACAGAUUAGAGUAUUUUGGAUUAAGAAAUGUUAACCCAUAGUCUUGGCUACAUUAAAACAUUUGCACAAGGGUGACAAAAUGCUGGGAAGGCCCAGGUCCCUGAAAACAGUUUAGCACCCCUUCCAUGCUGCUUCGUACUGCAGAGUAUCACUAGUGGUGCAAGAGCUUGAGAGGGAUAACAGAAGUUGGGUCUAAUAAUUGUGCUUAAAUCAGUAUGUCUUUUACUAGACUGAUCUUAAAUCAGCUUGUUGACAGUGUUUUCAAAUGCUCAUGAAAUACGCAUGCUUCUUUUAUCAAUUGCAACAUACUUUUGUCUACCAUGGUUGAAAUUCACUCUGAAUUAGAGGCCAGAACAAAGAACUGUUCACUAUCUACAUCUCACCAAAGGCCUAAGGUAAAGGGCAGGGGGAACUAACAAUUGCAAAGCCUUUGUAGUAACCUGGGCUAGAAACUGAUUUUAUCUUUAAAGUUGUAGUUGUUCCCUUGCUGUUAAAUCUUAUUUCACUCUCUGCUCAUUUUGGAGCACGUAUAAAUAACACGUAUUUGACAUUACCAUUUUUUAAUUUGUGCUUCCACAUGAAAAGAACUUGCCUUUCCAGGUAUCUUUCAUGCAAUAUUAAAUUGGAUCCUAUGACCAUAUGUGUAAAAUAGAGUUCCAGAAGUUAGAGAUAGAAAAGGGUUAAUAAAUUGCCCACUGUACGAUGUUAAUACAAUUUGGCUGAAUUCUACUUUUGUGUCUUUAAUGGACUACCCUCAAAAUAUAGUUAACAUAUCGAUUUUAGGUCUUCACUUUGAAACUGAAAAUAGCACAGCUGCUUUCUCGCAAACUGAUGCUGCUGGUCAUGUGAAAUUAAAAUGAGGGGACUGGGAAGGCAGCUGAAAGCACCAUGCUUAAAGCUCAGCUGUGGCUGGGACUGGCUGCAGAGAGUAAGAAUGACAUUAAAAUAGUGUUAUGCAGAAUGGGUGUGGUUUAGGAGC